GCCUUGAAGCCCGGGAUAGCCACUCGAAAGGGUGGGUAAUACCGGAUGUGCUCGGGGGUUGCAUAACUCCUUAUGUGAAGGUGGGGAUCUUCGGACCUGCCACUUCAAGAUAAGCCCAUAUCCUAUCAGCUAGUUGGUGAGGUAAUGGCUCACCAAGGCUUACGGGUAGCUGGUCUGAGAGGACGACCAGCCACACUGGGACUGAGACACUGCCCAGACUCCUACGGGAGGCUGCAGUCGAGAAUAUUUGUCAAUGUACGAAAGUAUGAACAUGCGACGCCGAGUGGAGGAUGAAGGCCUUCGGGUUGUAAACUCCUGUCAUGAGGGAAUAAAUGGUUUCAGGCUAAUACCCUGUUGCUUUGACAGUACCUCAAGAGGAAGUCACGGCUAACUCUGUG
rnacentral:rRNA from 1 species